UACGAAGGGGGCUAGCGUUGUUCGGAAUUACUGGGCGUAAAGCGCGCGCAGGCGGCCAUUCAAGUCAGGGGUGAAAGCCCAGAGCUCAACUCUGGAACUGCCCUUGAAACUGUAUGGCUUGAGUAUGAGAGAGGCGAGUGGAAUUCCGAGUGUAGAGGUGAAAUUCGUAGAUAUUCGGAAGAACACCAGUGGCGAAGGCGACUCGCUGGACAAGUAUUGACGCUGAGGUGCGAAAGCGUGGGGAGCAAACAGG
rnacentral:rRNA from 1 species